AAGACCUUGCGCUUUUGGAGCGGCCGAUGCCUGAUUAGCUUGUUGGUAAGGUAAAGGCUUACCAAGGCUUCGAUCAGUAGCUGGUCUGAGAGGACGGCCAGCCACACUGGGACUGAGACACGGCCCAGACUCCUACGGGAGGCAGCAGUGGGGAAUUUUGGACAAUGGGGGAAACCCUGAUCCAGCCAUGCCGCGUGAGUGAAGAAGGCCUUCGGGUUGUAAAGCUCUUUCAGCCGGAACGAAACGGUUACGGAUAAUACCCGUGACUACUGACGGUACCGGAAGAAGAAGCACCGGCUAACUACGUGCCAGCAGCCGCGGUAAUACGUAGGGUGCGAGCGUUAAUCGGAAUUACCGGGCGUAAAGCGUGCGCAGGUGGUUUUGUAAGUCAGAUGUGAAAGCCCCGGGCUCAACCUGGGAACU
rnacentral:rRNA from 1 species